rnacentral:rRNA from 1 species
UGCAAGUCGAACGGUCUUUUCUAUGGAAGCUUGCUUCCCUGAGAAGAUAGUGGCGAACGGGUGAGUAACACGUGGGUAACCUGCCCAUAAGAGGGGGAUAACAUCCGGAAACGGGUGCUAAUACCGCAUAGUUUUCUUGAUCGCCUGAUUGAGAAAGGAAAGACGGCCUUUGUGCUGUCGCUUAUGGAUGGACCCGCGGCGUAUUACUUAGUUGGUGAGGUAACGGCUCGCCAAGACGAUGAUACCUAGCCGACCUGAGAGGGUGAUCGGCCACAUUGGGACUGAGACGCGGCCCAAACUCCUACGGGAGGCAGCGGUAGGGAAUCUUCCGCAAUGGACGAAAGUCUGACGGAGCAACGCCGCGUGAGUGAAGAAGGUUUUCGGAUCGUAAAACUCUGUUGUCAGAGAAGAACAAGUUGGAGAGUAACUGCUCCAGCCUUGACGGUAUCUGACCAGAAAGCCACCGGCUAAUCUACGUGCCAGCAGCCGCGGUAAUACGUAAGGUGGCAAAGCGUUGUUCUCGGAUUUAUUGGGCGUAAAGCGAGCGCAGGCGGGUUCCUUUAAGUCUGAUGUGAAAGCCCACGGCUCAACCGUGGAAGGUCAUUGGAAACUGGGGAACUUGAUUGCAGAAGAGGAGAGUGGAAUUCCAUGUGUAGCGGUGAAAUGCGUAGAUAUAUGGAGGAACACCAACGGCGAAGGCCACUCUCUGGUCUGUAACUGACGCUCAAGCUCGAAAGCAUGGGUAGCAAACAGGAUUAGAUACCCUGGUAGUCCACGCCGUAAACGAUGAGUGCUUAGUGUUGGAGGGUUUCCACCCUUCAGUGCUGCCCCUAACGCAUUAAGCCCUCCGCCUGACGAGUACUGCCGCAUGGCUGAAACUCAAAGGAAUUGACGGAGGACCCGCACAAGCGGUGGAGCAUGUGGUUUAAUUCGAAGCAACGCGAAGAACCUUACCAGGUCUUGACAUCCUUUGACAAUCCUAGAGAUAGGACUUUCCCUUCGGGGACAAAGUGACAGGUGGUGCAUGGUUGUCGUCAGCUCGUGUCGUGAGAUGUUGGGUUAAGUCCCGCAACGAGCGCAACCCCUAUUGUUAGUUGCCAGCAUUCAGUUGGGCACUUUAAUGAGACUGCCGGUGACAAACCGGAGGAAGGUGGGGAUGACGUCAAAUCAUCAUGCCCCUUAUGACCUGGGGUACACACGUGCUACAAUGGAUGGUACAACGAGCAGCAAGACCGCGAGGUCAAGCGAAUUUUUUAAAACCAUUUUCAGUUCGGAUUGCAGGUUGCAACUUGCCUGCAUGAAGCCGGAAUCGCUAGUAAUCGCGGAUCAGCACGCCGCGGUGAAUACGUUCCCGGGUCUUGUACACACCGCCCGUCACACCACGAGAGUUUGUAACACCCGAAGUCGGUGAGGUAACCUUUAUGGAGCCAGCC